AUGUCUGACGCCGGUAGUUGUGAUGGGGCCGCAGCCGCGUGGGAUGCACCCCAAGACGACAUCCUUGAGCAGCCAGUGCAUACUAUGGAAGAGCAGGCACCUCCUCCUCCAACAUCUCGAAUUUCAGUCAGAAAAGCAGUAGAAGUAAUCCAGACAUUUGACGAUUACAAAAGGUGGCUCGUCACUGAAAUUGGGUUUGGUGGAAUGUUAAAGCUACCCAUGUUGCAGAAGCUUAAUCUUAAGUUCAGCGCAUGGACUAUGAGCAAGGUCUGUGUUGAGCGUCGAGCAAUUGUUCUAUCAGAAACAAAAGUACUCAAGUUUUUUGCGGAGGACAUCCACAAGGUGUUCGGCAUACCAUGUGGCCACCGGAAUGUUAAAGGCCGCGAUGGGUUCAUCAAGCCAGAGGAUGUGACCUUCAUAAAGAGGACGCUAGGGAUGGACAGGACGGGUGUGCAUAGUCUACACGCGGCUGAGGAAUUCCUUAUGCGCGACAUUUCUGAGGCGUCCAGCAAGAUAGAGAAGGAUUGCUUCCAAAUUGCAUUUGUCAUUUUUGUUAUGGGACACGUUCUGGCACCUAGGACAAAACACGAUUAUGGCACCAUAGACUAUUGGGGUGCACUUGCAAACACGGAGAAUAUCACGCAAUAUAAUUGGUGUGAGUUUGUACUGGAGUUUUUGCUCGAGGCAGUCCGGCGGCUUAAGAAUGAUAUGAUGGCCAACAACCAUAGUACAAACCUGGUUGGUUGCCACUUGUUUCUCCAGAUUUCUUCCUUGACAAUGUUGACCUUGGAAUUUUCAACAAGAAGCACAAUGUUCUUCCACGCAUUAGUGAUUUCGACCAUAAUAGCCUGA
rnacentral:rRNA from 1 species